rnacentral:rRNA from 1 species
GACGAACGCUGGCGGCGUGCUUAACACAUGCAAGUCGAACGAAAAGAGGGAAAGAGCUUGCUCUUUCCGGAAUUGAGUGGCAAACGGGUGAGUAACACGUAAACAACCUGCCUUCAGGAUGGGGACAACAGACGGAAACGACUGCUAAUACCGAAUAAGUUCCAAGAGCCGCAUGGCCCAUGGAAGAAAAGGUGGCCUCUACCUGUAAGCUAUCGCCUGAAGAGGGGUUUGCGUCUGAUUAGCUGGUUGGAGGGGUAACGGCCCACCAAGGCGACGAUCAGUAGCCGGUCUGAGAGGAUGAACGGCCACACUGGAACUGAGACACGGUCCAGACUCCUACGGGAGGCAGCAGUGGGGAAUCUUCCGCAAUGGGCGAAAGCCUGACGGAGCAACGCCGCGUGAGUGAUGACGGCCUUCGGGUUGUAAAACUCUGUGAUCCGGGACGAAAAGGCAGAGUGCGAAGAACAAACUGCAUUGACGUACC